ACGUAGGGGGCAAGCGUUAUCCGGAUUCAUUGGGCGUAAAGCGCGCGCAGGCGGGUUGCUAAGCGGGACCUCUAAUCUUGGGGCUCAACCUCAAGCCGGGUCCCGAACUGGCAGCCUCGAGUGCGGUAGGGGUAAGCGGAAUUCCCGGUGUAGCGGUGGAAUGCGCAGAUAUCGGGAAGAACACCGAUGGCGAAGGCAGCUUACUGGGCCGUCACUGACGCUGAGGCGCGAAAGCUAGGGGAGCGAACAG
rnacentral:rRNA from 1 species